CAAGCGAAAGUCCUUUUAAAAACCACAACCUACUUUUGCAGAAAAUAAAAUCUAUAGAAACACUGUUAGAUCCUUCUUUACUGACAGAUGAUGAAUCUUCACAUGUCUAUUGCUCUUCUUGUCGUUCUUCUCACUGGAGGAAACUCUCUGACAUGUUAUCACUGCCUUGAUCAGCAGGGCCGUUGUGAACGGCAGAAAGACUGUGGCUAUGAUAGCAUGUGUGCGAAUAUAAGAAAAGUAGAAUACAAACAUGGCACAAUGACAGAAACCAAUGAAACACAAACACGUUGUGUGCCUGUGGAUUAUUGUGAGUCUUGGUCGCAAAGCUCAUCCCUUGAGAGAAAAGCAGUUUCUGUAAAAUGCUGUGAUACCGACCUUUGCAAUGACCA